GGUACAGAAGCCAGGAGACCUCUCCUUAAUGGCUUUUGGGCGAGAGCCCUGGACUAGAGGCAGAGUUGGGCAGGCUGCUGUAUCUCCCAGAAGGCUAAACAGGUCUCAUCCUAGUAUCCAACUUGGCUUGGCUCCAGGAUUUCCAUUUUCAGUGAAUCUAUACUGCGCAUCAAAUUCAGAUGCCCAAAGACAUAAAGUUGGGAAAAAGCUGAGACGAAAUUGGUAAGAAGAUGGAAGAUGUCAGUUUAAGAGUCUGCCAGCCUUCCUGCUGAAGCUAAUUAUUUUAUGGUGUGCAAAUAACGUGGUGAGGCAGAGGCAGGGAAGACGGAGAGGCAUCUCAGGGAAUGGAAAUAUUCUUGAUCACCACAUUUUUUUUGCUUUUAAUUAAAGAUCGGU
rnacentral:lncRNA from 1 species